CAGGAAGUGGUGGACACCAGUAUGUUCUAUUCCCUCAGGCAUAGGGGGAGAUAUAAUUUGUGUUCCUUUCCUUAUUACUUGGGCCAAUGAGAGAAAAGAAUUUUGUUUUCAAUCAUUGAAUUGUCAUGAAUACCAUGAGAAGUAUUCCCUGUGGAUCUUCUUUGAAAAUCUUCAUGAAUUCUUCUGUGAAUCCAUCUGGCCCUGGACUUUUUAUAACUUCCAACAGAGAACUGAAUGGUCCACACCUGUCAGUGGAAUUUGGACUUUAUCUUCAGAAUGGAGAUCAAUUCCAACAGUGGUCUGGAGCAAUCAACAUCAGCAAAUCUUCCCCAUCAGUAAGGGGUUUGAUUUGAUAAAAUAUAAAGCGAAUAUUUGAGGGGAAACAAUAAAUAAUCCAUUAAAUAAGAGAUUACAGAAAAUAAGUUUGCAUGAAAGGCUUAGCUUUGACGAUAUAGACAAAAGACUACAAUGGGAGCUAUUAACUGGUUUCUGCCUCUAUGCUUGUAAAUUCCUGGAAAUGAAUUGCAUUUGUAUUUAACAGGACUAUAUAAACAUUGUUAUGAGCCCAUGGAAGAAUGUGAUCUUUUAUAAGAAACUGCUUUGGAUAAUGCAACAGAAUCAUAACAAAUAGUCCAUGAUUAAAAACGUUCAAAUGGAAAGAUUAUCUUGGAUCAUGUUUUUGGCGACAUCAUAAUCACAAGGGUCCUCAGGGAUGCAGACCAGGAAGCUGCAGAUGGGAUAUUUCAAUAAGAUUACAGAAAUUAUUUCUCAUACAUAUGCAUAUCUGUUCAUUCUGUGACUGAGCCAAACAGUUUUUGAGCAUUGAACUCACUUCAAAACUUCAUAAUGAACUUAAAAAAAAAAUCAUGAAAAGGUUAUAACAUUGGACCUUUCCACAGUCAAUAAGGGAACUGGGAGAAGCUUUAAGAGCUAUGCGAUGCCUACCCUGUUCUGAACAACUGGCUGUUGAAGGAUCCUUGUGGAGAAGUAGAUGGAGCAGACAUUGUUUUCAUUUGAGGACCCACUUGAGAGCUCAUCCGGCUACAGCAGACAGCUACAAAGCACAAGGUGGCACAGAAGGCCCUGGUUAAAUUCACACAAAGCUACAGAUGGAUAACUCCCAAUGCUUUUGGAAGACAGUUGAGGAUCUGAACUCAGGUUUUUAUGUGGCAGAACAAUGGACUCUCUUUACUGAACUCAAUUACUGCAACUAUUUUUUUAAGUAAGAAAAAAGGAAAAAUGAAAAUGAAGAGAGAGAAAGAGAAAGACGGAGGGGGAGACAAGAAAAGGAAAGGAAAGAAAAGGAGAAAGAGAAAAGAAAGCCUGGAUGAAGCAUUACAAGACAGAGAAACUCCUCAAAUUCCAUGCAGUUGGGUUUUUGGUGGCCAUCGACUGCUGGGCAUGGAGUCUUGCCUUAAGAUUAGUUGCUGGCAGCCCAAAGAAAAAUCCAAUACCAGAGGAUAAUGAAGGUGGACAGACUGUGAUUUUUAGACAUGGCUGCCUAAAUAAGAAUUGAACAAUGACAAUAUCAGUAGACAUGGUACUGUGGAAGUAGGAACAUCUCCUGCAGACCCAUCAUUGGCAAAAACUUCAGGUACCCUGACAACGAGACCAGGACUCAUCCCAGGUACAAGACCUGGAUAUUUAAAUCCCAUUACCAAAGAUGCAAUACUUACUCAGCCGUGAUACAAGGAGGAGGGGCCUAAUCAGGCCCAACUUGUGUUCAUCUGUCUGCCCUCAGUAUGAAGACAAGGAGUGACAAAAUGUAGCAAAUUCAGAUAUGCAAAACUGAUUAUGGAUGUUCAGAAUUAAAUAAAAGUUAUGCAACACAGAAAACCCUCAG